rnacentral:rRNA from 1 species
AGUGAACGCUGGCGGCGUGCCUAAUACAUGCAAGUCGAACGGAGUGGCGCACGGGUGAGUAAUGUAUAGCUAAUCUGCCCUACACUAGAGGACAACAGUUGGAAACGGCUGCUAAUACUCUAUAUGGUAGGAUGAGGCUAUAUUUUAUAAGCUAGUUGGUGAGGUAAUGUCUCACAAAGGCUAUGACACAUAACUGGUCUGAGAGGAUGAGCAGUCACACUGGAACUGAGACACGGUCCAGACUCCUACGGGAGGCAGCAGUAGGGAAUAUUGCUCAAUGGGGGAGACCCUGAAGCAGCAACGCCGCGUGGAGUAUGACACUUUUCGGAGUGUAAACUCCUUUUUUUAGGGAAGCGGUACCUAACGAAUAAGCACCGGCUAACUCCGUGCCAGCAGCCGCGGUAAUUC